rnacentral:lncRNA from 1 species
CACUGCUUCACUGGGUUUAAUCCUAUAAACAUUUGUCAUAAAAAAAAAAAAACUCAGUCUACAAUAUUAAACAUUUAUCUCUGCCAAAAUGUGACCAUCAAGCAGAGAAUAGUGUCCCCUCUAAAGGAACUGAACCAGAACCAUUCAUAUUACACUAGGAGGCUGUAGGAGCAGGUCCAGUUACCAGAACCAUUCAUAUUGCACUAGGAGGCUGUAGGAGCAGGUCCAGUUACCAGAACCACUCAUAUUGCACUAGGAGGCUGUAGGAGCAGGUCCAGUUACCAGAACCAUUCAUAUUGCACUAGGAGGCUGUAGGAGCAGGUCCAGUUACCAGAACCACUCAUAUUGCACUAGGAGGCUGUAGGAGCAGGUCCAGUUACCAGAACCAUUCAUAUU